rnacentral:rRNA from 1 species
AGAGUUUGAUCAUGGCUCAGAGCGAACGCUGGCGGCAGGCUUAACACAUGCAAGUCGAGCGGGCGUAGCAAUACGUCAGCGGCAGACGGGUGAGUAACGCGUGGGAACGUACCUUUUGGUUCGGAACAACACAGGGAAACUUGUGCUAAUACCGGAUAAGCCCUUACGGGGAAAGAUUUAUCGCCGAAAGAUCGGCCCGCGUCUGAUUAGCUAGUUGGUGAGGUAACGGCUCACCAAGGCGACGAUCAGUAGCUGGUCUGAGAGGAUGAUCAGCCACAUUGGGACUGAGACACGGCCCAGACUCCUACGGGAGGCAGCAGUGGGGAAUAUUGGACAAUGGGCGAAAGCCUGAUCCAGCAAUGCCGCGUGAGUGAUGAAGGCCUUAGGGUUGUAAAGCUCUUUUACCCGGGAUGAUAAUGACAGUACCGGGAGAAUAAGCUCCGGCUAACUCCGUG